AGUGGUAUAGCUGGGUCAUAUGGUGAUUCCAUUCCUAAUUUUUUGACAACCCUCCAUACUGGUUUCCAAAGGGGUUGUUCUAUUUACAAUCCCACCAACAGU
rnacentral:pre_miRNA from 1 species